rnacentral:rRNA from 1 species
AUUGAACGCUGGCGGCAUGCUUUACACAUGCAAGUCGAACGGUAACAGGGUGCUUGCACCGCUGACGAGUGGCGAACGGGUGAGUAAUGCGUCGGAACGUGCCGAGUAGUGGGGGAUAACGCAGCGAAAGUUGUGCUAAUACCGCAUACGUACUGAGGUAGAAAGUGGGGGACCUUCGGGCCUCACGCUAUUCGAGCGGCCGACGUCUGAUUAGCUAGUAGGUGAGGUAAGAGCUCACCUAGGCGACGAUCAGUAGCGGGUCUGAGAGGAUGAUCGGCCACACUGGGACUGGGACACGGCCCAGACUCCUACGGGAGGCAGCAGUGGGGAAUUUUGGACAAUGGGCGCAAGCCUGAUCCAGCCAUGCCGCGUGUCUGAAGAAGGCCUUCGGGUUGUAAAGGACUUUUGUCAGGGAGGAAAUCCUAGUGGCUAAUAACUGCUGGGGAUGACAGUACCUGAAGAAUAAGCACCGGCUAACUACGUGCCAGCCGCCGCGGUAAGAC